rnacentral:lncRNA from 1 species
CAGGUGUUGGAGGCUUUUUGGGGAUGGUGCUGGCUUGGCAGUCCAGCAGGAGCAGGGCAGCCUCCACCCAUACAGGGACCUGCAGAAAAGUGGCGCACGAUGUAAGCUGCUUGGCAAUCACAAGGUGCAGCUGCUCAGCCAAUGAAAGCUAAUGUUGUGGGUCCACAGCUCAGAAACAUAGGCACCAUGUCAAACCGAGAUCCCUAAUUGUUGAACUGCAUCAACAAGCCAUUGGCUUAGAAAAGUGUGAGGGACAGCCUGCUCCGCAGGAUGCCAGUGCAGCAAGCAAAACUUGGGUAGGCGACCAGGUGAAAGGGACAGGCUGUGCGCCAACAACUGGCGUGCACAUGGAGAGCAAGUACACAAGUUGCAUCCUCUCAUCCCUCAUCAUUUGCUCUGUACGAUAAAUCAGCCCAAGCAGGCAAGUCGCAUCCUCUCGUGCUGACACAAGGUAAGGUACGCCAGCGCAAGCAGGCACGUUGACACCUCCCAUGCUUGCAAGAGGCAUACCUUACAAGGUGAAGCAGCCCGUGAGGCGUCAUGCAUCCACACACAGGCACACAUCACAGCAGCAGGCACGAAACCUGGACAACCGCAGAACAGGGUGCCAGGAAGACACCAAAACAGAAGCUCCUGACCUCCAAGGUGCGUGCUGCUUGCUCCUUGGGCACGUCAGGGGACAUCGCGCGCGCGGCGGCUUUGUAUUGCUCAUGCCAGGCUUCCAGCAGCUCGAGCGUCUUGGGUAUGAGGCCCUGCGCACACAGUGAGCAUGAAAUGGUGCACUGAUGCUUGUGUUGAUGACUGUGUGUGUGUGUGUGUGUGUGUGUGUUUGUGUGUGUGUGUGUGUGUGUGUGUGUGUGUGUGUGUGUGUGUGUGUGUGUACCGUACUUAAAGUAUAUCAUCCUGCAAAAAUAAUGUUUUUGAGAGGUUCGGGAUGACUGCAGACAGUGGGAAAAUUAGAUUUUGGGGGGUAUGAGUGAGCAGAUUACCCUGCGGGAAUAAACGGGAAACCAUAAAAUGAUUUUUUCAGAGGUGUGCGAGAUUGAGGCGGGAAACAACAACAACAACAAAAUUUUUGAGGGGUACAGAAUUACAUUUAAGUACAGUAUGUGUGUGUGGCUGCGCAAGUUUUCUAUUACAAUUUUGCUCUGUAGGUGAGCACGCAGGUUUGGGCACCACAUUCACAAUCCACUUGAGGCGGUGCAAUGAUUAAGGUGUGAGCGCAAUGAUUUGGGAGUGACACAGCGCAAUGAUGUGGGGGUGAGCACACCAACCUUGCCAGCA